rnacentral:misc_RNA from 1 species
AUGCGAUAAGUAAUGUGAAUUGCAGAAUUCAGUGAAUCAUCGAAUCUUUGAACGCACAUUGCGCCCACUAGUAUUCUGGUGGGCAUGCCUGUUCGAGCGUCAUUUCAACCCUCAAGCCUUAGUUGCUUGGUGUUGGGAGCUUAUCUUGCCGAAAGGCGGGCAACUCCUUAAAACUAUUGGCGGAGUCGCGGUGACCCCAAGCGUAGUAAAUUUUCUUUUUCUCGCUUUAGGUGUUAGCGCUAUCUUCUAGCCGUUAAACCCCCUAAAUCUUUUAGUGGUUGACCUCGGAUCAGGUAGGACUACCCGCUGAACUUAA